rnacentral:rRNA from 1 species
UACAGAGGGUGCAAGCGUUGUUCGGAAUUACUGGGCGUAAAGCGCGCGCAGGCGGAUCCUGCAAGUCCGGAGUGAAAUCUCACUGCUCAACGGUGAGGCUGCUUUGGAUACUGCGGAUCUGGAGACCGGUAGAGGCUGGUAGAAUUGCAGGUGUAGCGGUGGAAUGCGUAGAGAUCUGCAAGAAUACCCGUGGCGAAGGCGGGCUUCUGGCUAAUUACUGACGCUGAGGUGCGAAAGCUAGGGGAGCGAACGGG